rnacentral:rRNA from 1 species
GGCUCAGGACGAACGCUGGCGGCGUGCCUAAUACAUGCAAGUCGAGCGAGCUGAACCAGCAGAUUCACUUCGGUGAUGACGCUGGGAACGCGAGCGGCGGAUGGGUGAGUAACACGUGGGUAACCUGCCCUAAAGUCUGGGAUACCACUUGGAAACAGGUGCUGAUACCGGAUAACAACAAUAGCUGCAUGGCUAUUGCUUAAAAGGCGGCGAAAGCUGUCGCUAAAGGAUGGACCCGCGGUGCAUUAGCUAGUUGGUAAGGUAAUGGCUUACCAAGGCGACGAUGCAUAGCCGAGUUGAGAGACUGAUCGGCCACAUUGGGACUGAGACACGGCCCAAACUCCUACGGGAGGCAGCAGUAGGGAAUCUUCCACAAUGGGCGAAAGCCUGAUGGAGCAACGCCGCGUGAGUGAAGAAGGUUUUCGGAUCGUAAAGCUCUGUUGUUGGUGAAGAAGGAUAGAGGUAGUAACUGGCCCCUAUUUGACGGUAAUCAACCAGAAAGUCACGGCUAACUACGUG